CCUACGGGGGGCAGCAGUGGGGAAUAUUGGACAAUGGGGGGAACCCUGAUCCAGCCAUGCCGCGUGUGUGAAGAAGGCCCUCGGGUUGUAAAGCACUUUCAGUGAGGAAGAACGCCUGGUGGUUAAUACCCAUCAGGAAAGACAUCACUCACAGAAGAAGCACCGGCUAACUCCGUGCCAGCAGCCGCGGUAAUACGGAGGGUGCGAGCGUUAAUCGGAAUUACUGGGCGUAAAGCGCGCGUAGGUGGCUUGAUAAGCCGGUUGUGAAAGCCCCGGGCUCAACCUGGGAACGGCAUCCGGAACUGUCAAGCUAGAGUGCAGGAGAGGAAGGUACAAUUCCCGGUGUAGCGGUGAAAUGCGUAGAGAUCGGGAGGAAUACCAGUGGCGAAGGCGGCCUUCUGGACUGACACUGACACUGAGGUGCGAAAGCGUGGGUAGCAAACAGGAUUAGAUACCCUAGUAGUC
rnacentral:rRNA from 1 species